GACGAACGCUGGCGGCGUGCUUAACACAUGCAAGUCGAACGGAAAGGCCCUGCUUUUGUGGGGUGCUCGAGUGGCGAACGGGUGAGUAACACGUGAGUAACCUGCCCUUGACUUUGGGAUAACUUCAGGAAACUGGGGCUAAUACUGGAUAGGAGCUCAUGAUGUAUGGUGGGGGUUGGAAAGUUUCGGCGGUUGGGGAUGGAAUCGCGGCUUAUUAGCUUGUCGGUGGGGUAGUGGCUUACCAAGGUUUUGACGGGUAGCCGGCCUGAGAGUGUGACAGGCCACAUUGGGACUGAGAUACGGCCCAUACUCCUACUGGAGGCAGCAGUGGGAAAUAUUGCACAAUGGGCGGAAGCCUGAUGCAGCAACGCCGCGUGCUGGAUGACGGCCGUCGGGUUAUAACCCGUUUUCGCCUGUGACGAAGCGUGAGUGACGGUAAUGGGUAAAGAAGCACCGGCUAACUACGUG
rnacentral:rRNA from 1 species